GAGGGGGGGAGAGGCAGGGGAAAACUGCAGAGAGCGAGAAGAAAAGUGCGAUAGAAGCCCAGCCCCGGGGUAUGAAGAGAACGGCUCAUUCAAACCGUGUUUGGCACCGCUCUUCCUUAAGUGAUCGCUGCGAUCAAGCACGCUGUGGAUGUAGAGGGAGAGGCGGGGGGGGUUGGGGGGGGGAAAGAGGGGGAAAUCCCUUUUAGUUUUGCGAUUAGGCUGCCAGGCUUUGAAAAGGGCUUAAAAACAAAGUCAUGCUCAGCUUUUUGUGGUAGAAAUCCAGAUGUUACGUAGAUUUUUUUGUUUGCAUGUUCGUUUUGAGCGGACCAGGCGGUGAGCGCUGCGUUUACGUGUGCGUGUAGCUGGACUUUGCCGUAGAUCGACGUUGCGCUUGUGGAAUGUCUGCUGAAGUAUUAGCUCGGUAAUGCCUUCUAAUGGUAGUGCUAAUUACGGUGGGGUUAUUUAGCAAAUUAAGUGAGCUGAUGCAUCCCCCACCCUAGAGCACCAAAUGAACUUUUCCAAGCACACACUCACACACACACACACACAGAGACACGUUAAUUUUGGUGUUUGUCUCGCCCAAUCGCUUUGCCGGAGCUACCCCAGCCUUACCUCAGAGCAGUCAAUUACUAAAGCUGGCCGGGAUCAUCAAUCAUGGGGGAUGCUUGAAGUUUAGGGGAGGAGCGAUGGUCAAACUAUCGAUUGCUGCAGUUUUGUCCUUCCCAACCCCCCACCCUCGUUCACGGUCCCCUGCACAUAAAAUCUAAACCAGACUAUCCCGUUAAUAGUGGGAUUUAUCAAUGAUUAUGUACCCGGUUGUGAAUACAUAGCUGGCUUUUAAAAUACACGGCAGAAAAAUAUUAUUUAUUCAGUUAGGUUUUGGUUUAGUUUGCUUUGCUUUUCGUGGUGAUGACGAUGAUUGUAAGAUUUUUUUUUUUUUUUUCCUGAAACUUUAAGAAAAUGACCCAAGGGUUAGUUACAGAUAUUUGGCCUGCUUUUAAUAGGCGUAGGGAAUGAGCUCCAGAGGUCAAUAAACCCCUCCAAAAUGAUGAAUGAUUGAGUACCUGUGAUGAUGAUAGUGAUUACCGGAGCAAUUAAACAGUUUGAUUAAAUGAGCCAUCAUAACAAUGAUGUCUGCGGGAAAUCAGCCCUCACAUAUAAAGAAAGAUAGUGUGGAGCGCUGACAAACGCCAGUGGGCAUUCCUGCGUGUUCCGAUAGCGCCGAACCCUGCAGAGCAGAGCAGGGCUGUAUUUGCAAAUAUGGUGGCAAUACGGAGAAAAGUCCCUCUCCUACUUUUAGCCAGAGUUGCGCCCUGCUUAAAACCAGACAGAAGCUGGAGAGCAGACCCGGGUUUGGGGUUUCCUCCCCCCCCUUUUUUUUUUUCCUUUUUUUUUUUUCCAGAGGAUCUCCUCCAAGAUUAAAGCUAGUCCUAAGAGCAACUGAAUUGCUGUGACUGACUUUCAUGGGACUGUAAAGAGAGCUCAAGGUCCAAAGAGAAAUGAGGUGUCCGGUAUGGAAGUGCAUCUCAGUCAACAGCCAGCUCCUUUUGCCUAGGCUGGAAAUGGUUUUAACAGGCGGUAAAAUUUCAUCUUGUGGUGUCAAAUUGGGGUCAGUUUGGGGUUAGCGCUCUCAGUGUCCGAGCAGGAGCUGUCCAGCUGUGUGGGGAUUCAUUAAGGGCAAAAGAUCCGUUUCAAGAAAAACAAUACAAAGACAAUCAGAGGGCUAAAGAUCCUCUUCAAAUCGCAUUUUACAAGUGCACCAGAACAAAUAUGGACUCUGAAACCUAUUCCCUUCAAACUCCCAAAUCGGCUUCUUAGCCCUUGGAGGGAGGGAGAGAGAAAAUCCUCUAAAACUUAAGAAGAGUCUGUUUUCAAUCAGCCUUUCCGAAGUGUGGCAUCUUAGUCCUUUGCUGGCUUUGAGAUUUGCCUCUCUCGCUCCCUCCUUCUCUUUUUCCACAGCCUUGCAAAAGCGGAUGGCACAACAGGUAAUAUUUCAGAUUUUAGGAAUAUAUGCCGCCGGGGACCUUGGACCGCUGUUUGGUACGCGCGUCUGUGCCUAAAGCAAGAUUUGAUGCAAAUAGAAAGUUUUGUUGCGGUUUUUUUUUUUUUUUGUUUGUUUGUUGGUUUUUGUUUUUUUUUUGGGGGGGGGUAGGGAAGGAGAGUUGGGGAUGUGGAACAAGCCACUCUUGCAGGAAACCCUGUUGGCCCCCUUUGGAAAUUUUCUGCACUCCUUGUAAGUGAUGCUCCGGUCUGACGGGUAAUUUAGGCUAGAUUUACUUUACGGUUCCUAGCAUUUGUGGAAAGCACCUAUUGCUAAUCUGGUUUAUUAAAUUCGCGUGGUUUAAAUCCUCUUAGCGCCCCUACAUCUGUUAGAACAAUUGACGCCUUGCUACAGGGACAAAUAACUUGAACCUUAAUCUUGUUUGUAACUUUAUUCAAUGUUUGUUUGUUUGUGCGCUGAGUUCAAGUAUUUCGGAGGGAUGCCAUUGUGUUCGCAAAUACAGGGGCUACACUUCCAGGCAAAGCUCCCCGUGGAAGGGAUAAGGAUAUCGCGGAACGGGACGACAAAUUGUGCAUAUGCGUUUCAUCGUGAACUAUCGUUCUAGGAAACGUGUCAUUUACUGAAGAAAGCAAUCUGCCUGUUAAAAUGUGGCUGCAGGAUUACAUCACCGGGACCCCGUAGUAAAAUCCACGGGGAUUUUCCUUUUUGUUUUGCUCGCAGGGCGAAGUGCGGGGUGUAAACAGUACCUUUUCCUUUUUAUAAUUGGGAUUAUGCCACGGUUUAAACUCCUACCCCCAAAAUCGCUCUUUACCACACUUUCCUUUGCCUUUACGCUUAGUUCUCACAACUUGAGUCACUUUUUAUGCGUUUUAGCCACUUUAAGUCCUCGACGGCGGGACUUCAGAGGUGCCAUCUCGGGUGCCCCUGGGCAAUGCCGCACAGUCCCGGUUCUGCAGGUCGCUGGGUUCAGUCUGCGCCCUUUCGGUCCGCUAAGCCCUCCCCCCAGCCACCGCCGAUGGUGUACGUCGCUUUUCACCCACCUACAAUUUUUCUAAAACCUUUCAAUUCAGUCCGUAAAGUCAGUGAUAGCCCAUCACGGUGAACUUAUCUUGACCUCGACUGCUGUGUGACUGAGAUCUUUGGGAGCUGGGUUAGGAGGAGAUUCAUGGAUUUACCUGCGAACUUCCUUUUUAACUCUCUUUCUUCCACCCCUCCCUCUUCUUUUAAAGAAAAAAGAACCCCCCUCAACUCCCCCACGAAGCCGGAGCGAUGCGCGGUCCGCCUGCCCCUGUUCCGCCGUGUCUCCGCUCGGCGCGGGGCUCCGACCGCCGCUGCCGGGUUCCCCGCGGGAUGCGGCGGUGCCACCGGCAGCCCUCUAGCGCUACCUGGCGGGGCUCCAGCACCAUCCCGCUGCCUCGCAAGGCCCCGGUCCCCGCGCAGCUCCAGGGGCGCGGAGCGGUGCGGAGCACUGUGGACCGCUUCGAGCCUCCGCCUCCCGCGCGGCUCCGAGCGCUUGGUUUGGCGUUGCCACCUCCCCGCGUUCCAUCGAGCAGGCGGGCUGCGGGCCGCGGCGGGAAGGGGAACGGGGGGACGCCUUCGCCUUGGUGCGCGUGAAGCGCUGAUGUCAGACCAGAGCGCGGCUUUUUUUAUUAUGUCUUAGGCUGGGAGGUUUGUAGAAGUGAAGCCCAUAAACAGCCAACGCGCCUGUUUCCAUCAUAAACCAGGGAGAGUAAAAUACCUGCCAGGGCUCCCCGCUAACACAGUGCAGCUGCUUCCACCGAGGCAGCUAAAAACCUAGUUUGCCUUUGUUGGAAGAAGCCCGAAGCAUUAACAAAAUCCAUCUUUCCAAUAUGACAUCCUAACAAAAAGGACAGUUAGGGCAAACUAAAUCGCUUUAGUGGGGUAUCAGAGCAUCCGCGAAGGCUCCAAACUCCUCUCAGAGCUCUGCUCUCGCGCACUUAAAAUAUUACCUUUUGUUCUCCAGCUGCCUAUAAAACUCCAGAAGAGGAGCGCUCUCCUUUUUACACUGGAGUUCUCGGUCCGGAGAGAACAAUAUCCUCCUACCUCCUCUGAAAUGAUAAGGAGAACCUCACAACACACAGGCGAGCACUCCAAGCACGAAUCUCUUUCUUUUUUUUUUUUUUCCCCAUUUUUUCCCCCCAAGAACUGCUCGGCCCAUUGUUUGAAGUGGGAUUCAGCGCGCAGCCCAAAGGGAAAAAGGAAAAAAACCGAAAGAAAUCUUAGGAGCCCGGUUUGAUAUUGCACAGAGAAAGAUCUGACAAAAUAGUAUAGCGCGUCUCCUAGAAGGACGUGAUGGGAGCCGGCGGUGUGUUCCCGAAGGAAAGAUGGGUUUGUUUUUUGGGUUUUUUUUUCCCCACCCUUAAAGAUUGUGAUCGCCUUUGUACGUCUUUCUUUUGAUCCCACAAAGAGAAUGCCAUAUACAUAUAUGUGUUUGCUCUCCGUACAAGAAAUGCAAAGGACCGCACAAUGGAAUAUGCGGCCGGUUAGUCCUCAUAAUGCUUAGUUUUGCUGUAAUUAAUUGAAAACAGUUAUUAGGUCGUCAUUGGCAAUAGCGUAAAUAAUUGCAGCAGAUUUUUACUUAAAAUUGACCGGCCACAGAGUGAUAGAUCGAUUCGAGGUAUAAAAAUGAUGUAUCAAAACAUCAAUGUCGAUUAUUUGAAAUAUUGUAGUCGAAUCUUUUUAUUGCUUUAUCGGUUAAGUGUCUGAAAGUGCUGUGUUCCAACAUAUAUUUAUGUUGUCAAUACUGUCAAAACUGUCAGUUUUAUUACAGUGGAUUUGUAAUACAUUUCGGAUUUGCUCAUUUACAUAAAAUGUCCACCCCAGAUACCCCUCCUUUUCUCCAUCUCUGGAAAUUUAUGUCAGUUUAAUGAAAGGAUUCAGGACUCAUACCUGAAGGGGAAAAAAAAAAAAAAAAAAAAAAAAAAAAAAAAGUAGAGAUAUUGCUCCGUUAAGUCCAAUUUAAACCUCCCUUUGGAAAGCUCGGGCUGUUUCUAACUUGCCAUAAGAGGGAAUCCCCCCCGUCCCUCCCCCCUUUAUUUCCUCAGUAGGAUUUAAACACUUUCCUACCCUCACACCUAGAUGAAACCCUUCGGGAGGAUUGAGGACCUGAGUGGGGAGACAGCCGAGCCCUAGCCCACCUGCGAGUGCGGAACCCUCACAGAAAGCCGCAACACACAAGCGGGGCUUCGUCCCCCUAGAAAGAAGGAGACAAAAGCAGCAAUAAACGUGUGUGUGAUCCUUUCUUAACGGGUUGAAGCCCAAAAGAAAAAGCAAAUUGGAUGCAGUAUUGGGCAUUUGAUGCCCGUCCGUCCCCGCCCCCCACUUUAUCAGGGUCUGAUUAUUCGCUUUAACUGUAAGCGCUGAUUUGUUAUUAGCUGGGUUCAGGCACCUCUCUAAUUUUCUCCGAGAGCCCAUUUGAAGGGUAGAAAAACUGAGGAAUAAAUAAAUGCAUUUACACUCUAAAGUCUCUUCGAUCAAGCAAACAGUGAAAUUAGCAAAGUAACUUUAUUUCCCACCCCUGUCGGGAGGAUGAGGGUAUUUUAAAGGCGUUGGUAAGGUGGACCUGAGGUGUGGGGGUGCCUGUCUUCUUUCUUUUUUUUUCUUUUUUCGUUUGGUUUUUUUUUUCUUUUCCCCAGAGAUACGUGUGUUUAAAGAGAUGCUGAAGACAUUUCUGAGUUCAUGGGGAAGAAGGAGAAGUUGGUUUGGGAAAUGGCAGCACACCGGGCAGGAGAUGGUUUCCUCAGUGUGUGGCAAGUGUUUCUUCAAGAAAUUCAUCAGCCCUUCUACAAUUACUUCGAGCUCCGAGGGAAGAGAGCUGCCAUCACUUUCUCACAUCCCAAGGUGUUGCACGGAGGAGAGAAGAAAAGGCUGGAGCAUUUAAUUAUCGGGGGGGGGGGGGGGGGACAAGGGGGAAGUUGGGGGUUAGCGGAGGCUGCGGGAAGCGGUCCCGAGCUGAUACCUGGAAAAGAAAAACCUGCAAGGGUGUAUCUGGGAGACCUGUGCCACUGAGAGAUGGGGGAAAGUACCCCAUCUCGUGCAGUAAUUAGUCUGAACAAUAAACAUAAUUGGAAUAAAAUCAGUCGGAAAUUCCUGCGUUUUUAAUUACGUUUCAUUUUGUGGUAAGCCGUAAAAUUAUGAAUGCCUCUCAAUUAAACACUAUCCACUUGUAAAGCAUUUAACAACAAUUAUUCGUUAAUCAGUUGGAAUGUUAGCCACAAAUGAUGCUGUUAAACAUCAAAGGGACGCCUUAGACGUUACCUUUUAGUCAUAAGUAAGAGGAUUAAUUUCUAUAAUUAGAGGGGAUAAAUAUGUGCAUAAAUAAAUCUAAUUUUUUUACACAUUCUCAUCCUGCGCGGGAGAGGCGAGAGACCUUGACAUCGCCGGCACUUCUAGCUCUCCCCCGGCUCAGAGGAGGCGACCCAGGCUCAGAGAGGUGAGAACAUCCCUCCGGCGAGGCCCGAUCCUGAGCGUCGCUCCGCUCUCAGCGCCUCUCCGCUGGCACUGGCACGGUAACCGCUCCCGCCGCCGCACCCGGGCUGGGGCUCGGGCCCGCCGUGGGCACGGGUCUUCGAAGGGAUUCGCUGGCCUCCUUGGCUUGUAUUUACCUUUUUUUACGGCACCUGGGAUCUACCUGGUGUUUCGGCUCCCUCGGGGACGAUUUGCCGCCCCCAAACGAAGCUCCGGAUUUGAGCUGAAUACCGCAAAUAAAAUUAACGUGACCUUGAUUACACCCUGCAUGAAUAUCUCAUUUACCUAAUGACUUUAUGUCACGUACGCAGAGGGUCAAUUUCCUUUUAACCUUUCCCAUCGCUGCAGUAAGCAUUCUUUUAUAAUCAAUGGCUGUUUGAAUAAUCAAUUCACGUUUUAUGAUCCCUGACAAACUCAAUAUCUGUGUGCCUCGUUUCAGCAAAGCAGCCGGCCCUUCUCCGCGCCGUUUUCACGUCCGAAGAGUUUGCGGCUGGUUUUCCUGGCUCCCCGGGGAGCCGCCCCAGCGCCGCGCAGGGCAGCAGCGGCCGGGAUCUGCGGGGGCCUGCGCUCCCAGCCCCGCUCCGCCGCCGCGGAGCCUCCGUGCAUAGGCCCUGCCCACAGGAGGGUGCGCCUCAGCACGAAGGCGCAGGCUUGAGGAGCCGCGGCGCCGGCCGGCAGCCUUCGCAUCUCUUCAGUUCUGGACAUGCACUUUCCAAGUUUUUCCAAUCGCUGGGCCCAAAAUAAGAGGUUUUCCCGCUCCCCCCGCCCCCGUCCCGUCCCGCCUGGUCUCCAUCCUGGGAAUGUGCACAGCAGAGCCCGAGCGCCAGGAACCGUUCCCCGUUUCUGCAUGUGCCGGGGCAAGUGGCCGUGGGGGAACGAGGUUCCCCCGGAUCUGAAGCCGGAGGCCGCCUCCAUAAGGGCUUGUGGGGAAGCGUGGUGUCCGCGGCCGCGUCGGCACGUGGGGAGACCUUGAAUGAGUCUUGGAGUUAGAGUAACCGUUACGCUGAUUGAGGUCCACGAGUCCCUCAUGGCCACCAGCCCCUUCGUCACCUCUCCCAGCCGCCUCCAAACUGGAGGUCGGCAAACUUGUGCCCAGCACCACUCGAGUGCAGCAGUGUACACGGGAGGGGAAGGGGUUAGGGCAAGUUGAACUUUGCCAAUGUUUUUUCUAUAAGUAGCUCACAUUUGCUGUGAUCUAUGGUGUGAGUCAGGAACGGAGACUUAUUGCCACCCUGUUCCCUCUAUUGGAUAAUUAAUGCUGAUUCAUAGCGGUUUCUACCUACGAAUGUGUGUUUCGUUUUUCUCUGCAGGGUCCGUGGUUCUUUGGUAUGUUGUAUUCCCUGAAAGUUUAACCCCUCAGUAAGUGAUCAAAGCUACACAAGAAAAUUAGACAUGCUGCCUUGGACUGUAGGACUUUGCCCUUCCUGUUACCAGAAGACAACCAGGACACAAUCAUGGAUGAAGGAUUAGAAAAGGCACCACAUCUCCCUCUGCUCUGUAUGUACUCCUUUACACUCUUUUAAGAUUUAUAAAAUGCAUGUUGAAAACACUUUUCCACUGCCCACUAUUGCAGACCUACACUUGCCUUCUUUCUCACACAUGCCUACUGUCAUCUCUUUGGCUCCUUUCAUCUCUCUUGCUAAAUUAAUUACCUCACUAAUGCAAGGCAAUGAAACUCAGGUAUAAGGUAAGUCAGGGAAAAUACAUUACUUAAAAUAUAUUAUUAUAUGAAGGUGAAUCCUCCAUGAUUAUUCUCACUUUAUUUUUUCCCUCUGUUGUUCAUAAUUUUGAAAAUUUUAUGCUUCCAUUUGAGUCUUGGCAGGUUGAGCAGGAUGACUCACAGUAACAUUGCAGAGAAGAUCCAGUUCUCAUGGGAUAAAAUGGUCUCUAUGGGACCAAUGAAGAGGAAGCAGAGGGACAACACUAGUCUUAACAUGUUCUUGGACAUCACCAGGUUUUCCAUGUUAGAAUAAAAGAAUCUGUGCAUCUAUAUUCACGGUGAAUUAGACGAUAUAUUCUCCCUGGUAGUGGUGUUAAAGGGCAGAGUCCACUCUGAAUUCCAAACAACAAACCCUGUGUCUAAAUUGUAUAUCCAACUGUCUUACUGUGUUUACAUAUUUCCACUCACCAUGUUUUUCCCAUUACAGUUAGCCAAUAAACUCAAACAGCACAUCUCAUCUGUGCUGUACCACCACUGACUGUAAUGUUAGCACAUUAGAAAAGAAAUUGUCCUAUAGCAUGACACUGCAUAACAAAGCAGGUCCAAAAAUCUAGAUACUGAGAUGCUACCAGUUUUAAUCCUUGCUCAUAAGAAAGGCUGCCAGGGUCUAUAGGCGUCACCUAUUAGGGGGACCAAAAGUUCACAGAGAAACAGCUCAAUGCUGUGAAUCUCGGUUAACAAUGUUUUACACGCUAACCACCUUCAACAUCUUCAAGCCCGAAUCUCUGUCCCAUAUGACUGGAGGAGAACGUGAAGUAAGGACAUAGGGUGGGAUUCUGUAGGGUAGUUUUGCAGGUUGCCAAGUCUGCCUGUGCGAAGUAGUCAGCUUGCCAGGUCCUACUGAUAGUAAUCAUGGACAGUCACAACCCUUGCAGUAAGCUCUCAGCACAAGAAAACAUCAGUUCUUUAAUUCAUACUUUGGUGAUUCACAGCUAUGAGUAUUUUUUGACACUUUAAGUAUCUCUCAUGUCAUGGUGGUACAUUUUGCUUUUUCAAAAGUGUUUUUCAAAAUGAACAGGCUUUUCAGUAAUGAAACAUGAUCAAGUUACUCUUCUAAUAGAUUUCAUUUUUAAAGUACAUGCUAAAUUUAAAAUGUCUCAUGCAUUUAUAAACCAUCACUAAUAGUUCUAUUGAUCAAUGACAUAAAUAGCUCUAGCAGAAGCUUUUUUUUUUUUUAACAUAGAUAAACAUAAACAGCAUUGAAAAAAUAACACACAAGUGAUUGUCCUUCACUCUUACCUUGAGGCUAUAUUAUGAUCACAGUAAGACAUAUCUAGGCAUGUGUCAUACUGGAUAACACUAUUUCUUGGGUGUUUGAGGGCACAUGACUUUACCUUGGACUUCAUAACAGCUGAGACAUGCCAUUUAAAAACAUGGUCCUGGCAUUACUGAAAAAAAAGGCCCUACUAAUUAUUAAAGUAUAUAUGAGAUACUUUUAAAAAAUUGUUUCACAUUAAAUAGUCGUAUCAUUUUAUUUCUAUUAUUCAUGUGCAAAGCUAAAAAUAAACAUUUGAAAUAUUUUUCUCUUUUAUGGAAGAGCUGAGAAAACUAUUCAUUUGAAAUGAACUCUUGGAUGAAUGCAGCCAUAUUUUAUGGGCUCGGAUCUCUUAUUCCCAGUUGGGAACCCCACAUCAGAUCUGGGCAGUACAAUCAGUCCUCAGAGGUAGAGCUCUCUUUACUUCAAAAUAUUCACCAAGAAUAGCUUAGGCAAACAGUUUCCAGCCUAAGAAUCACACUUGCACUAUUUCCCAACAGGUUGGUUGAAGUUAUUUAAACAGGAGACUAAAUGAAUAAUAAAGGUGCCCAAGAAAUAUCUGUGUCUGUGCCAGCAUGCUUUUGUUUUGUACAGGUAUCCAUCCAAAGCCUCAUUCUGCCUCUGAAUGAGCAGGAUUUGAUCCAUAAAAGAAACGUAUCCACCUAAUACUUGUUCAAAGAAAAAUCCUGCUUGCUUUAAUGUUCAUGUAUAUGGUCAUAAACAUGAUCAAAACACCAGCCAGCUGAACCCCCUACAGCUGCUUUGUAAAUAGGAUUGCAGUAUGAACCCAGGAACAUAACCAGUUUUGUCACUGUAGGUUAAUUUCAGCUUUCAAACAUUGCAGAAAAUCAUCAAUUGCCUUUCUUCUCCUCCCUGGUUUAACUUCAGAUCACUUCCCCUGGCAAAUGGCUUUUGAUACUCAAGUAAGAUCAUAUUGUUUGAUCCAAAAGCACAUUUCUUUUUGCUGUUGUUUCCAGACUUCAUUUAUUGAAGAAGGUCCUGUCUGCAGCCAAUAUGUUCCUGGUAACUGUUUGUUCCAGAAAUAAACAUCUAGCAAGAUUCGUAGUAUUUGAGAGGCAUUGCUUUCAUUACAUAAUCUUCCAUGCAUGGGAAAAACGACACAAAGAUCUUGAUCCUGCUUUCCUCACUCACCUAACAGUUCAACAGACUUUUUAUUUAUUUAUUUUAGUUUUAGAUUAGCAAGCAUGCAAAGAAUGGGAUUUCAGACUCCCUGUGCUGCAAUUAUUAUACUUCUAGGUUGAUCAUUUUGUUUCCUGGGGAAGGCCAUACUAUUAUAUAAGUAUUCUUCAUUUGAGGAUUUAUUCUACUGGAUUUACCAUAGCCACAAAAAUAAGUCAAAUGAAGUAUUUUUUUCCUUUGUUAGUGAAGUGUUAUCAGUGAGCACUUAUAAGUCAGAGGAAUGAAUUCUAAAUCUUUACUCAGAUCUGAAGAUCUGAACUGUCGUAAAGCGUGAAACACUAGGAUGAGAGGGCUUAGUCUUGAUAUUUCUUUCUAAAUGGAAUAUUAAAUAAAAACAUUGCUAUUCCAGUGAAACAUGCUAAGUGAUGUUGAUGUGAAUUCAGGGACAGAGAGAGAACAGAAGGAGUUCAUGGGCCUCAUUCUCUUUACUUAAGCAGGAGAAACUAGUGAAGUUAAUGGAGUUACAGUGAUAUAAAACGGUAGUAAGGUGAGAAUUGCACAACUUGUGUUUAACUAGAUGCUAUUACUUUAAAAACAGAGUUUACUUCACUAAACAAUCUGCAAAUAAACACAAAACAAAGGGCAAAUGAGACAUAUUACAAGUAAGCAUGCAUGCAAAAAAGGUAAGUGCAAAUUAGAUUUGAAUAUUCAUGAGUCACAAAUCAUUGACAGUUUGAAAUAAUGCAAAACAGCUUUAUAAAUGAGGUUAAGGCAAGGGACAUCAAAGAAAGGCAUUGCUAAAUCAAUAGCAAUUUGAUUGUGCAUAUACUUGUAAAUUGUGGUUACAGUUUUUUUGACAUGGGAGAAAAAUACCGCACAUGUAGUGAAGAAAGGACACAUAAAUAUUCUUUUCAAAUGUGUUAUAUUUUUGCAAUUCAGCAUGUACUUGGAGACCUGCCAUGUACAAAGUGACCAGAUAUUAUUUUUUACUUUUUUCCCCCAAGAGAAUUAUAGUUUCCUUUAAGUAUCCAAUCUCUGUGUUGCUUAGUAUGAAAAAAAAACAGUUGCCAAUAGUACCUGAACAGCAAUACUGUAGAAUAGAAUAAUUACUUACUUCACUUGACUCAAGUAGCAGGAUCACCUGCUAAUCAAAGUACUGUCAUAAAAUCAUAACCAGCUUAUCUACUUGUUUCAGAGAAUUUAGUUCUCAGAAGUGGGAAUCAGAUGAGUUGCAAGUCUCAGAACAAACUGCUGGAGCACAGGGAUUUAAAAGAAUGAUAGCAUGAAGGAUGGCCAGCCUGACCAUUUAAAUCAGAGCUUUUUCAUUUUUCUGCCUGUAAGCAUCAAUAAAGUAUUGGAUUUCCUGUCUUA